rnacentral:rRNA from 1 species
GCCUACAGCCAUGCCACCCUGAACAAGCCCAAUCCUGUCUGAUCUUGGAAGCUAAGCAGGGUCUAAGCCUGGUUAGUACUUGGAUGGGAGAACAACUAGGAAGACCAGGUGCUGUAGGCG